GAUGAACGCUGGCGGCGUGCCUAAUACAUGCAAGUCGAGCGAACAGACGAUGAGCUUGCUCCUCUGACGUUAGCGGCGGACGGGUGAGUAACACGUGGAUAACCUACCUAUAAGACUGGGAUAACUUCGGGAAACCGGAGCUAAUACCGGAUAAUAUAUUGAACCGCAUGGUUCAAUAGUGAAAGACGGUUUUGCUGUCACUUAUAGAUGGAUCCGCGCCGCAUUAGCUAGUUGGUAAGGUAACGGCUUACCAAGGCGACGAUGCGUAGCCGACCUGAGAGGGUGAUCGGCCACACUGGAACUGAGACACGGUCCAGACGCCUACGGGAGGCAGCAGUAGGGAAUCUUCCGCAAUGGGCGAAAGCCUGACGGAGCAACGCCGCGUGAGUGAUGAAGGUCCUCGGAUCGUAAAACUCUGUUAUUAGGGAAGAACAAAUGUGUAAGUAACUAUGCACGUCUUGACGGUACCUAAUCAGAAAGCCACGGCUAACUACGUG
rnacentral:rRNA from 1 species